CAUUAAUUAGCCGAUGCAAAGUGCAACAGCUUCAAAAGCAAGAACUCAGAAGAACCAUGCCACGGAAACCUCAUGAGCUUGUUGAUGAAUAGGAUGAAUAGGAUGCUUAUAUUAUCACAUUCUCCUAACCAAGGAAGAUCUGGAACUUGAGUCACCUGCUUUCUAGUGUAUAACAUUUCUCAUCAUCUGCUAUUUAUUCUACAUUCAGCACAGUAAAACCAAAGAAGCACUGACUCACAAGCCAGCAGAUGCAAACCUCCACUCUCUACUGCUGAUCUCCCCUUCCUUUCAUCAGUACUGAGAUCCUGCAGUUAUUAACACAACUGCUAACUGCUUCAUACACACACACCCGCUUUAGUGUGGUGCAGUCUCUCUGACUCUGGUGAUGAACCUGACUGUCCUAGCUCAGCCCAGACGGGAUGACCAUUCUGCUUUCUGUGAGGUAUAACAUCUUUUUCCAUCCCAUGAAGCAAUGUUCAAGCAACAUUUCAAAGCUUUCGAAUGCACAAAAUUUUACAUAUCCUUGGAUGAUAAUUUGUGUAACUGCUUAACUUGGCUGCUCAGCAUUCAUUGUAUUUUCUGUCUUGAAGUCCAAUGUAACCAAGCAGCUGAGCCCAAAGUUUAUCUUUUCUUGACUUCUGUAUUCUGCAACUGUAUGACCACUCCAAGAAGGGGAGACUGCACUUUUCCAGAGGAGCUGCAGGGGAAACAGAAGGCACAAAGAUCCCAUGAGCCACCAUCAGGAGUCAAGUCUAGAAUGUUGUUAAGAAAACCUUGUGCUGCCAUCAAGCGGGACCUCGAAAGGUUGGAGAAUUGGGAAAAAAAAUAUUUGAGAAAAAUAAUGAAAUAUAAUGAGAGCAAGUGUAGAAUCCUGCAUCUGAGCAAGAACAAUAUCUAAUGAUGGGACAAGGGGCAAUGAGUGCAAGCUGUAACAUAGGAGGUUCCGCUUAAAUAUGAGAUGAAACUUUUUCAUGGUGACGGUGUCAAUGCUGAGACUGGCUGCCCAGGGUGAUUGUGGAGUUGCCUUCUCUGCAGACAUUCAAAACCCACCUGGACAUAUUCCUGUGUGACCUGAUCUAGGUGUUCCUGCAAUGGCGGGGGAUUGGAUUAGACGAUCUGUCAAGGUCCUUUCAAUCCAUAACAUUUUGUGAUUCUGUGAACACAGGCACAGACAGGCAGCCACAUUUGGCUGUGACAGAAAUAAAGUGGUAUUGGGGGUUCUGUAGAGUUUGUUGUAAUCCAUAAUCUGGAUUAAGAAUAAAUUUUAAAAGAAAGGGCCUACCCCGCAACAACAAGGGUUGGGGGGAGAUUGGUUUGCAAUUUAUAUUUUAAUUUGCUGUAUCUAACUGAUGUGAGUUUUACUAUUAGAUUCCUCAUAUCCAUUCGUGGCAUAAUAUAACCUAGCUGUACAGCAUGAAAGCUAGGACUAGGACUGAGGACAUUGCCCAUUAAAACUUUGGCUCCUUACACCUACCACCAUUUCUUCUGUCCUCUGCCAUGUGUUUUUUAAAGUUUUGUAUGUAAACAUUCUUCCAUUAUUUUUUUCCCAAAUAAAUCUUUGCUGGGUAAACUGACCACUGGAGACACAGUAUACAGUGGGCACGCUACAUAUAGCCUAACUCUUUAGUUUUGUAGGAAAAAAAAAAAAGUUGUUGCGGGCAAACACACACACUGGUGAAGAGACUGAUAGCCAUGUGCUGUGUAAAGUGAAUGCUUCUCAACUCCAGAAGAGUUUCUGUAAAUCAGCAUGGAUGUGAAUCCAUUCACAUUUAGCCUCAGAUCUGAAGUUCAGUCCAUGGCCACCAUAUAUUUAGCAGUAUGGACACAGUUAUUAAAUAUCAGAGAUCUGCCAGAAGUCUUUUGGAGAGUUAAACAAGCACUGCUCAGCAGCCUACAUUUUUUUAUUACAAACAGCCAAGUGUGAUUA